CAAUAGCGUAUAUUUAAGUUGUUGCAGUUAAAAAGCUCGUAGUCGGAUUUUGGCUGAGAACGAUCGGUCCGCCGUUAGGUGUGCACUGAUUGGUCUCAGCUUCCCGGUGAGGAGGUGUGCUUCACGGCCACUUAGUCACCGUGGUUACUUUGAAAAAAUUAGAGUGUUCAAAGCGGGCUUACGCUUGAAUAUAUUAGCAUGGAAUAACACCAUAGGACUCCUGUCCUAUUUCGUUGGUCUCGGGACGGGAGUAAUGAUUAAGAGGAACAGUUGGGGGCAUUCGUAUUUCAUUGUCAGAGGUGAAAUUCUUGGAUUUAUGAAAGACGAACUUCUGCGAAAGCAUUUGCCAAGGAUGUUUUCAUUGA
rnacentral:rRNA from 1 species